rnacentral:rRNA from 1 species
UACGUAGGCAGCGAGCGUUGUUCGGAGUUACUGGGCGUAAAGGGUGUGUAGGCGGUUGUUUAAGUUUGGUGUGAAAUCUCCCGGCUCAACUGGGAGGGUGCGCCGAAUACUGAAUGACUUCGAGUACGGGAGAGGUGAGUGGAAUUCCUGGUGUAGCGGUGAAAUGCGUAGAUAUCAGGAGGAACACCAGUGGCGAAAGCGGCUUCCUGGUCCAGCACCGACGUCAGGCACGAAAGCGUGGGGAGCAAACAGG